GGGCCGUUAGCUCAGUUGGCAGAGCAGCUGACUCUUAAUCAGCGGGUCCCAGGUUCGAGCCCUGGACGGCCCACCA
rnacentral:tRNA from 3 species